CUCUAGGAAUGUGCAUGCUAUUUGCACACGCACACACACACACACACUUGUCAUUAUCCCCCUGUGUGUGUGUGUGUGUGUGUGUGUGUGUGUGUGUGUGUGUGUGUGUGUGUGUGUGUGUGUGUGUGUGAGUGUGUGUGUGAUGACAGAUGAGUCCUGUCGUUAGAGUCACCGAGGGGUGUGAACGUCCACACUUCAGGAGGUUUCACGUCCUGAGGACAGCACAGGCCUACUGGAAAGACUCUGUGAAAGGUCAUAGAUUCAGAGAAUAGUUGAAGCAGGUUCCUGAGUUCCUGGAUGUUCUGAUGCAGGUCUGAGGCGCUGUGAAGGUCACUGCUGAGGCGCUACAUGCCUGGAUGAACCAGUCGGAGACCCACCAGCUCUCAACCCACUGCCCUUUACAGCUCCGACUACAGACUCAGGAGGGAUUUCUACUCCGAUGGUUCUAAGGCUAAUAAUGAGGCAGAGGUCAGCUGUUGCCUGGGAACAUCCACGAUCACGCCACUGCUGGGACACAAGUCACACCGGAUUUCAGCUGAAGGCUGCUGUUCUGUCCAAACUGUCAUGAGGCACUGACAUUUUUAUUGUGAUAUACCCUCCACUGUUAGCUUUUGUUUCAAUAAGUUGUUUGAGAUGAUGAAAUCACUAUUGCAUACUCCUACUUAAAUGCCCUACUUUCAUGAUAUAUCACUUUUAUAUUUUCCAUAAAUUUCACCCGAAAGUUGAAUAAAUUUUUGGGAGUAGUGUAUGAAGACACGUCAUGUAAGCACACUUCAAUGAUAUAUCUGCUGCAGUAGUGCAGUUUAUCUAUCAAGCUUGAUGUGACAGUAGAAAAACAACGUAUGUUGCUGAUAUGUUUAAGAAUCUUGUUGAAAAGCACAACUGAUGAUCUGUCAAAAUGUGUGUAACAGAAGUGUGCACUGAAGACUGAAUGAAGUCUCUGUAGACUAUAGACAAAACAUGCAUCCCUCAUCACAAAUAUAUUUCUAUUCAUCCAAAGUGCAUGAGCAAAAAUACAAAAACAGGUAAAGUUAAAUAAAUAAAAAAAAUAAUUUAAAAAAAAUAAGAUUUUUUUUCUAGAAAAGACCAAAAGUAGUGGACAAUCCAGUCGUUCUGGGACAGUCACUCCAGUACUGACACCAUGCAUCCCAUCAGUCCAACCAAGGUUUUCCUCCAUCCUCUGGAUGUUCUGGAGCAUGGCAGAGGUCAUGUCUUGGUGUCUUCUGAUCUGUUCCAAGAACUGUUCCUCUGACCUCUCCAAAUGCUGCAGCAGAUCCACAGCAGCUUCCUGCUUCCCUUUUCAUGCAUAAAAGCACUCCAAAAGGUGCUAGUUGUUAGUAAUUACUUUCUAUAUUCAUAAACACACUUAACUUAAAGUAAAUGUUCUAUUUUGCAAUUUUAGGAUUAGCGAAAAGAUAACAUAUUGAUCAUGUUGAUGUCUGCAUAGUUUAAACAGACCUUACAUGAUUUGGUUUGUUGAGAGGAUGAGCUGCAGGAUGGGACCAGCGAGCUGCAGAGUAGUGAUCCUAACUCUCAUCAUCCAAGACUGGCAACGAAAUAAAAAUGAACAAGAAAUGUUGUUGAUAGCAUCUGUAAUUUGAAUCACUUUCUCCAUUAACUGAUUAAUUAUUGCUUUGUCCAUACAAUGUUAGAAAGUGUUUCAAAAAAUACCUGUAAUCAUUUCCAACAGUGCUAAAUUCCUUGUUUUAUUUGAGGCACAACUACAAACCACUAAAAAAAAUCUGAGUAUUAGAAAUCAAUGCAUUCAAUUUCCACAUCUGCAAAGCUGAAACCUCAAGAACAAUUAGUGAAAUUAUAAAAAAAUAGCUGCACAUUACCAGUACUCUUUACUGCACUGAAUUAGUUUGAUCAUUUGAAUCAGUUUUAGACUUGCAUUAAUGACAAUGUUAGCAAACAGUUUAUUGGUUCUUCGAGGGAAAUUUCAAUGAUAACCAUAUAGUAAUAUGAUUAAUGUGUCAUUGUGUAACAACGUGGAAGGUUUUGAAUACAGGUCUUGUCAAGAAAUAUUGCUGUUGCUUUUGUCAUGUUUUAUAAGGAGUUGUUUCAUAGCUUGGUAGCUUACAAGCAGCUCACUGGAUAGCAAACAAUAGACACGACCAACCUCUGAUCACUGAUCCAGUGUCCAUACCACAUUAGCUGGCGGAACGCUCAUAAUAUUGAUGUGGAACUAUUGUAGCUAGCGUAUUCAUAGUAGGCUAACAGCAGGGUGUUUGAGAAAUAAUACUUACCAGGAUCAAGAUCGGUGGUGGCGUUCAGGGCCACGGUUGGAAUCAUUGAAUGCAGCAGGUCACUGGUGCUAAGUCAGGCACUGGCUCCGAACUUGUACUGGAACCAGCUUGCUUGAAAAGCUAUGACGCUGUAUCGAUUAUGUGAAAAGUGUGCCUCUUGUUAAGCACUGCUUGAAUGUCUUUAUAUUUUAGGGAGAUUUCAAAAUAAAACUCAGUAAAACUGUU